CCACUGAUUAGAUGAAAAUCACACACACCUGGCACACACACUCACUGAGAAAAGUAGUUUCUCCACACAAUCGUUUGUUUGUUGUUUCACCUUUUUUUUAACUGGAAAAUCUGUCAUUUUAAUUUACUUUAACUGAAAGGGAAACAAGCACAAACUUGGAGAAACACAUCCUUUUCUUAAUGAGCAUUUUGGAGCCUAUUUUUAAUUAUUUUGAGCCACCUGUUGGAAUGAGUGGAACAAACAAUCAGAUGUUCACAGACAGCAGCUGAUUCUAAGGACAGACAGGCUGGACAUCCUGAAGCUACUUCCUACCUGCUUUUCCCGAAGACUGAAGCAUGACACAACAUGAAAGCUACACCCCCUCCUUUGCAUAAUGAAGCAGAGAGAUAAGCUACCAUCAUUAACUGCUGACUCCUCACCUUCCCUCACUCCGCAAGUCAUCAACAACUGCUUCAGUUUGGACCCUUUCAAUACGGAUUAGGAAUUGUUCUCCUCUUGAUUUUCAAG